UUGUACAAAUUUAUAAUACCAAUUAAAACAGACGAGAGAGGCUUUGUUCAGAGUUUUCACAGAAUGGAAUGUAGAACACACAGACACA